rnacentral:rRNA from 1 species
CCAAGACAACUUUACGGAGUUGACGAUUGACGGAGCGAAGCGACGUCAAAGCGUUCAUUAAAGUCGAGUUGGCUUAGGGAUACGUUCGUUGGGUAGGGGAGCGUUCUGUAAGCCUGUGAAGGUGUGUCGUGAGGCAUGCUGGAGGUAUCAGAAGUGCGAAUGCUGACAUAAGUAACGAUAAAGCGGGUGAAAAGCCCGCUCGCCGGAAGACCAAGGGUUCCUGUCCAACGUUAAUCGGGGCAGGGUGAGUCGACCCCUAAGGCGAGGCCGAAAGGCGUAGUCGAUGGGAAACGGGUUAAUAUUCCCGUACUUGGUGUUACUGCGAAGGGGGGACGGAGAAGGCUAUGUUGGCCGGGCGACGGUUGUCCCGGUUUAAGCGUGUAGGUGUGUGUUCCAGGUAAAUCCGGUUCACUUUAACACUGAGGCGUGACGACGAGGCACUACGGUGCUGAAGCAACAAAUGCCCUGCUUCCAGGAAAAGCCUCUAAGCAUCAGGUAACACGAAAUCGUACCCCAAACCGACACAGGUGGUCAGGUAGAGAAUACCAAGGCGCUUGAGAGAACUCGGGUGAAGGAACUAGGCAAAAUGGUGCCGUAACUUCGGGAGAAGGC